GGGCGACAGAGUGAGACUCGUCUCAAAAAAAAAAAAGAAAAAAGAAAAAAAAGAAAAUGAGCCAUCUCUGUCUGCCUGUGUGUCCAGGAAGGGGCCUGGGACUGGCUCUCAGGGGGCCUAGCUCCUCCUGCCCUCUGGGAAAUGUGCAGAAUGUCUAAGCCAGCAAGCAGGCAUGGGAAGGGAGUGGCCGGCCAGAUGCAGGGCUCCAUGGAACAAGGUCCCCAGUGCCAGGGCAGGACAGCAGGGCCUGGAGAGCCAUCGUCAGCAGGCUCCAUCCUUCCACCUGUGAACUGUGACCUGAGAGGAGCCACCUCCUGGGAGGCCCACGAGGGGUCCUGACCAGCAGCCUGGCACCUGCUGGGGCCACGCAGAGACCCCAUGGCAGCCCUGUGGGAAGGGCAGUUAUCAGCCCAUUGACAGAGCAGGGACUGAGGCCAAGUGGGACGGAGUCGCUUCCCUGGAGUCAUGGAGGAUUCCAGGGCCCGGCAUGCCCAGUGGGAAUGGCGGGAUUUCGGGCACGGCACGUUCAGAAGCAAUGGUGUGGGGCCCCCUGAUUUCUGGAGCCCUGCUGGUGCCCAGCCGGGAGCCUGGGAUGGGCCCCAGAGGAAGGUGGCUGGGACUCCUGCUCCACCCCCACCUCCCCGAGCCCAUCCCAGCUGCUUCUGAGAGCAUCAGGCUGGACGUGCCCGCGCAGCAGAAACAGGCCCAGAGGCGAGGCUGUGUUUUGCUUGAAAGCCUCUGCGGAGUGAUGGAAUCCACAUUCCUGCCCCAGUGCUCCUCGACCACCCGUGAGGCCACGUCCUGAUAAACCCGUGGUAGGUUAGAAAUACCGACAGCUGAAAUGCGCUAAUACACUUAACCCACGGAACAUCACAGCUGAGCCUUCUUGCCUUAUACACACUCAGCACCCUUCCAUUAGCCUACAGCUGGGCGAAGUCAUCCCCCACGAAGCCUCCUUUAUAAUAAUGCAUCAAAUGCCUCAUGUAAUUUGUCCAAUGCUGUAAGAAGGAGAAAAACAGAUCGGUUGUGUGGGCACUGGAAGUACCGUUUCUACCAAACAAUUGCAAAUCAGAAGCCGGGAACCGUAGAGCACAGAACACCCGUCAUGUCCACCCGCCAUUUCCAAGCCCCGUGCUGGGUACAGGCGCUCCUUGGUGCAUGGAACAGACAGCCCUGUGCCCAGGGAGCUCGCAGCCCAGGACGGGACAACUGGCAUCCCAGGAGGGUGUAGGGCUGUGAGUCUCACCGGGGAGAUUCAGCCCCCGGGACAUGGGGCUACUCAGAACAUAUUUUUGGUUGUCACGACUGGAGGGCAAGUGCUUCUGGCCUCUAGGGAGUGGGGGCCAAGCGGCCCCACCUCAGGUCAGUGUCCAGCCAGACUGUCUGACCAGCGCCUGUUCAGGGGCUCUGAAGGGCUAUGGCCCGGAUGAAGGGGCUCCAGGGACAGGGUGGCCAGGGAAGGCCUCUCUGAGCAGGGGACUUUCACAGAGUGAGCAGAAUUGAGAUGGCCCGGUUCCUCUGCAGGUCCCCACAGCCUGGGAAGAGGAGAAUCUGAGAGCACGGCCGCCUGGGGGCAGGCCGAGGCAGGCGGAUCCUGAGGGAGCAGCCGCCUGGUGCCAGGCCUGGGGAAUUCCAGGAGGCAGAGGCCUCAAAAGCCCUCCUCCAGGCUGCUGCCUGGAGUUCCCAGCAGCCCCUGCCACAUUCCUCCACCUGGGUGGGCAGGGGUGCAGGGGCUCAGCGCAUUCCUGGUGGAGAUAGGGAGGCCAGCCUGCGGCCUGCGCCAGCCUCCUGCGGGGCCUGGGGAGCCCUGUCCAGGCUCUGCCGAGCUUGGCAUAUUGGAGCUGAGCCAGUCGGCCUUUGCUGGAACACUCAGGCGGAGGUCGCCUUUCGCCUUUCUGUGUGGGGAGAAGCCACUUGCAGAUAAGGCAGGGAUUCACCAGCUCCGGGGGGCCGGCAGGACACAGCCACACUUCACCUGCAACCAAGCCUCCCCAUCUGUAAAAUACAGAUAACAAGGGGGCCAGGCGGUGGCUCACACCUGUAAUCCCAGCACUUUGAGAGGAUGAGGGCUGUGGAUCACUUGAGGUCAGGAAUUCGA
rnacentral:lncRNA from 1 species